CCAGCAUUUCCCUGUCCCUGCUGCCACCACCAUCACCCCUCUCCUCUUUAAGAACUGCUCCCUUUCCAGACCUCGAGGGAAUCAGGGGGCUUGCCACUUUUUUAGUCAAAUCAGAAAGAUUCUUGAGCUUUAGGACCUCUAUGACCAGAUGUCUACCUGGGCUUGCUCCCUCUGGGCCUCAAUUGCGCCCUUUUAUUAAAUAGGAUGAGUCCUGGUCUUGCCUCCUUCUCAGGUAAGUUGUGCGCAUACAUAGCGGGGAAUGCCUGUGUCAGUGCUUUGAGAGAGAUGAUGUGCCCUUCCCUCCCAACAGGAAGGACUAUUGUUAUGAUUGUUAUAUCAGCAUCACCCAGGAACACUUGGCCCAUCUGGGAGUCAGCCUGGCCUUUUGCCUAGAGCAUAAGUGAUGCACGUCCUUUUUCUGAGCUGGCCUGAGCUGCAGUUGCAAUAUAGGGAUGCUGACUCAGCUUCUGGCAAAGGUCAGAGUGAAUCUUUGGUGUGGCCUCCAAGUCCCAUUUUAGCCUGUGGUUCUUUGACUGCUACAAUUUCCAUGCCUCAUUAGCACUCCCACUAUCACCUUUCUUGGACCAAGUCCCAGAAGAACUAUUUGCUUUGGAGGUCAUGAAGUUGGGAGGUGGAAGAGGAAUCUUGGAGAUGGGAGAGGAGGUGGAGAUGAGAUGGUGACAAAGAACUAGAAACUGAAAGGAUGCCCAUAAAUUGGGAAAUGGCUAAACAUUGUGGCAUAUGAUUGGAACAGAAUACUACUGUGCCCUAAGAAAUAAUAAGCAGGUUAAUUUUGGAAAAACAUGAAAAGACCUACAUGAAAUGAUGAAGAAGGAAACAAGCAGAACUAAGAGCACUUUAUAUACAGCAACAGAAAUAUCUUUGAAGAACGACAUCUCUCCACGUCCAGAGAAAGAACUGAUAACUAUCAAUAAGAAAUAGUUUCAUAAGAACAUAUAUCUAUUUUGUCAAAUGAUGCCUUCUCUAAUGGGGGAGCGAAAGGGGGAAGGUGUAAACUAACAAGUUAAUUAAUUGAAAAAUUCUUUGUUACAAAAAACCAGCUAUAAGGUGGGGGGAAUGGAAAAAGGUAGGUCUAAAAACAGAGGAUAUUCAUAAAAUUCACUUAAAAAAAUAACAAAAGAUAUUUCCUCAAUGAAUUUUUUCUUUUGUCUCUUCCUGGUAUGGAAGUGACUAGGUUCCUGAAAUCUAGGCCUGGAGAGCAUAAGCUUGGUACAAGUCCUACAACAUUGAAAAGGCUUCAGAUAUGGCCCUCUAAAUGGCUGUCCAAGAACCAGGUUAUCUAAACUGGGAGCGGCACUGGAAUAGAGGAUUUUGUUGCAAGACUUAUAUAUAUACCUUUUUAAAAAAAAUUUUAUUUGACUUUUUUUUUGCCAUUGAAACUCAUGAAAUAGUCUACUAAAGCAGGGAAGGUCUGUGAUCUGCACUUCCCCCAACAAAAAUCAUCAGUUUUAAAAAUUAAGUAUGUCUCGUCCCCCAACAAAGUUUUAAGCCCCCAAGGGUAGGAACUGUGAUCUAGACAUCUUUAAACCCUCCUUUCCCAUCUCCCAUAAUAUUUAGAAUAAGAAUAAGAAUAUUUAGAAUAAUAUUUAGAAUAAGACUGUCCAUAGUAUACCUUCAAUAAAUGUUUUCCUGCGUUUUGCUCUCUAAAAUUAGAAAAGUCCAAUUUCUAAAUUAUAUUAAGGUUCAAUUUGACUCUUUCCUGUUGCUAGUUAAGCCUAUUCCUUUUUAUAUGGUUUUUUUUUAAAGAGAAAAUGAAGACUACGUGCCCCACUGAAGAUCCAUUUACUUCUUUAAGUGUCUACUCCCCCUUCCUAGUUGUCUCUACUUCAGCCAGUUAAUCAGUGAGGCAGCCAACCUAUCUUUGUUCAGACUUCUAAUCAGUAAUUACAAGAAGAUGGAAAGGGCUAGCCUGACAUUUAUCUUUUUGUAAAUACAUGGAUUGGCACUAUGCAAAGGAUACAAUACAGCUUGCUCCUGAGCAUGUGCAAUAGUGGGGACUUUCUCCAUUACAUUUGUAAACAAAUGGAGAGUGAGAUGAUAAUUGCAAAAGAUAUAUUUAGCCUUCUUCUCUUCCUGUGGAAUUCCUACCCUUCCCUUAAAAUCCAAAUCUCAUACUAUCCCCAAAUACUCCCAGGAAAUCUUCCCUGAUUUUCCUUCCACUCCUAUAAAUAAGCUUUCUCCUCUCAGAUCUGGCAUAGAACAUUGUUGUCACCUCUCUUGUGCACUCAUUUUUACAGUUCUGUCUAAUCUGAGGUAUGAUAACAACUGUAGGACAUGCACAGUGUUCACAGUUGGGCUUAAUAAAAAUGUUUGCUGUAUUGAAUUGAAUCAAAUGGAAUUGAAUUAAGAGAGUGAAUAGGAGGGACCAUUCAUAAAGAAACAAUUGAAAGCUUAUUUACAAAUCAUCAUUAAAUAGGUUUCCUAAGGACUCUGCUGUAUUCUCCUCAGUACUCAGUUAGAUCAGUUUGUGUGUUCUGGAAGGAAAUAAAACUUCAUUUCUGAGAACACUGUGCAAC